UCCAUGGUGGCUCAGAUGGUAAAGCGUCUGCCUGCAAUACGGGAGACCCAGGUUCGAUCCCUGGGUUGGGAA
rnacentral:tRNA from 1 species